rnacentral:rRNA from 1 species
CUGGCGUCUUCGGCGUCCGCAUUGUAAUCUCAAGAAGUGUUUUCCGCUUCGGACCAUGCCUAAGUCCCUUGGAAAAGGGCAUCAUAGAGGGUGAUAAUCCCGUACAUGGCAUGGAGCGCCCGAGGCUUUGUGAUACGCUUUCUAAGAGUCGAGUUGUUUGGGAAUGCAGCUCAAAAUGGGUGGUAAAUGCCAUCUAAGGCUAAAUAUUGGGGAGAGACCGAUAGCGAACAAGUACAGUGAUGGAAAGAUGAAAAGAACUUUGAAAAGAGAGUUAAACAGUACGUGAAAUUGCCAAAAGGGAAGGGUAGGAGGUCAGAGAUGCGUCUUGGGAUUCAGCCUUGCUUUUGCUUGGUGUUUUUCCCAAGUUGCAGGCCAACGUCGGUUUUGGGCACUGGAGAAGGGUGGAAGGAACGUGGCACCUCUCGGGGUGUGUUAUAGCCUUCUACUGGAUACAGCGACCGAGACCGAGGACAGCAGCGUACUCGCAAGAGCGGGCCUUCGGGCACCUUUACGCUUAGGGCGUUGGCAUAAUGGCCCUCUACCACC